rnacentral:sRNA from 21 species
GUACCUUCGCUAUAGUAGAUUUCAAUAUCUCUGACUAAAUUGAGUAUACCCCAUAGACUACACAAAAUAAACGAAGGUCAAUUUUGACUCCCUUUAGUAGAAGCCCAUGCGAGAAUCGUGUGGGCUCUUUGU